CAAUAGCGUAUAUUAAAGUUGUUGCAGUUAAAAAGCUCGUAGUUGGAUUUCUGGAUGGAGCGACCGGUCGGGCAUUAAUUUGUCUGCACUGGAGUCGGUUCCGUCCAUCCUCUUGGAAAGUGCGUCGGGCAUUAAGUUGUUUGGCGUAUGAUCCAAGUCGUUUACUGUGAAAAAAUUAGAGUGUUUAAAGCAGGCCUUCGCCUUGAAUACAUUAGCAUGGAAUAAUAAGUUAGGACUUUGGUCUAUUUUGUUGGUUUGCAGACCGAAGUAAUGAUUAAUAGGGAUAGUUGGGGGUAUUUAUAUUCCGAUGUCAGAGGUGAAAUUCUUAGAUUUUCGGAAGAUAAACUUAUGCGAAAGCAUUUACCAAGGAUGUUUUCAUUAA
rnacentral:rRNA from 1 species